CUAGUGUCCAAAUAUUGGGGAAGUGUUAACAUCACUGGAUAGUGUGCUGCUUAAACAGUUGUGGAAACUUCAUCCUUGUCCCCUUGCAGCUCAUUUUCCAUAUUCUCUCACUAAAAGCAGAUAAUGAAUUUUACAGACUGUUCCAUCUUUGUCUUUUUCUGGAAGCUUUCUGCACCUACUUGUCUGGGCUGUCAUUAGGAAAACAGUAACGCAGAAUAAAGUCAAAGACUCAGAAAUUAGCUGAACUCUCCAAUGAUGUGGACUUUGCUUUUACAGGAAUAACUAACUUACUUUGUUAAUUUAGUGACAAUGGCUCUUUGAAUCCUAGAAGUGAAUUACUGCCUUGGUAUAAUCCAAGCUCAUGUUUUCCUUACCCUACCCCCAACAGGUGCUGUUGAAUUGUGGGAACUAGAUGAGAAUGAGACACUUAUUGUCAGCAAGUUCUGCAAGUAUGAGCAUGAUGACAUUGUGUCUACAGUCAGUGUCUUGAGCUCUGGCACACAAGCUGUCAGUGGUAGCAAAGACAUCUGGUGGGUCCCUGUUCUCAUUGCUCCUGUCUCUAAGCCUCCUGUGGGUGCCUUUCCUAUCCUGUUAACCUCAUUAGGUAACAUUUUGGGCUUAUUCUAAGAAUCCAGUGACUUAUUUUAGCAUGUCUAUAAGGUUUCCUUAGGGAUUUUGCAGUCCAUCGUAAGUAGACCAUAGCAGCAGUCCAAGAGGCAAAGACUUGGGGAAUGUUGAUUACAGGAAGUUCUUGUUUGAACACGUUUUUAUGUUGAUAGUGUAGGUCAAGAUUAAAUGUCUGUUUGCUUUUGCUUCUUAGCAUCAAGGUUUGGGACCUUGCUCAGCAGGUGGUACUGAGUUCAUACCGAGCUCAUGCUGCUCAGGUCACUUGUGUUGCUGCCUCUCCUCACAAGGACUCUGUGUUUCUUUCAUGCAGCGAGGACAAUAGAAUUUUACUCUGGGAUACCCGCUGUCCCAAGCCAGCAUCACAGAUUGGCUGCAGUGCGCCUGGCUACCUUCCUACCUCGCUGGCUUGGCAUCCUCAGCAAAGUGAAGUCUUUGUCUUUGGUGAUGAGAAUGGGACAGUCUCCCUUGUGGACACCAAGAGUACAAGCUGUGUCCUGAGCUCAGCUGUACACUCCCAGUGUGUCACUGGGCUGGUGUUCUCCCCACACAGUGUUCCCUUCCUGGCCUCUCUCAGUGAAGACUGCUCACUUGCUGUGCUGGACUCAAGCCUUUCUGAGUUGUAAGUGUGAAGUGGAAUCCUUUGGGAAUCAGGGAAGGGGAGCAGUGGGUGGGCGAGUCAUUUUCCUCUUCAGAAAACUGUGUUGUGCUUUUGGAGAACAGAUUCUCCAUCUGUAUCCGAAGGGACUUGGUAAUGGAAGCAGGCUGGCUGUUGACCCUGUCCAUUCCUGGGGCACAUUCACAACCCCAAGGACAAGCCGUGUCCUUGGUAGAGGGGGGUGGUAGGUGAAAUUUUUAAGUCUAGCCCUCCAGCGCUCUCCCACAAGGGGGCGGCAGUCUACCCUCUCACAUAAAGAACUGCGUAUGAAAUGCAGCCUGCUACAGGGUAAAAGGCAGCACCUGGAAGACCUGAAUUGUACUUCCCUCCUUGCCGUGAUUUGCUGCCUGUUACUGCCCCUCAUCACUGUCUUGUUCUAUCCAGCAUUUCUUCAUCUAUGAAAAUAGAAGACUGGAUUGGAUGACUGAUGACAUCCACUGUGGAUAGCUACACUGCUAUCCUGGCGAUGAGGCCAUACAGUUGGUGAAAUGUGUGUAACACACCCAAAAAAUGUGCCCCAGAUGUGUUGGGUUCUCUUUUUUUCUCCAGGUCUGCUUUUCUUGUCUCUACUCUGCCCCGACUUUUUUUCUUUCUUCUAGGUUUAGAAGCCAAGCCCACAGAGACUUUGUGAGAGAUGCGACUUGGUCCCCGCUCAAUCACUCCCUGCUUACCACAGUGGGCUGGGACCAUCAGGUCGUCCACCACGUUGUGCCCACAGAACCUCUCCCAGCCCCUGGACCUGCAAGUGUUACUGAGUAGAUUGGAUUUAAGACAAAAAGCAAGUCCCCCAUGAGUGUCCACUUCUUUGCCCUGCCCUCUCAGCUUGUGAGACAACACAGGAGCCUUCUAUAGUAUGUUGAUAUGCUAGAUCUGUGCCGUUAAUAGGCAUCGUCUCUCAGCCUGAGGGAGGCUGGAUUCUGGGUUCCUGUAGUCACAGGGAGGAAAAGCUUUCUUAAAAAUGGACAUGUAUGUGCGUGUGAGUGUGUGUGUAGAUUUAUAGUUUUUGGUAGUGGCAGGAAUAAAAAAAAUCCAUCCUACAUCUUCCCUAAGCACUGCCUCUCUCUCACCCCCCAAAACAAGUUGACGAAAGGGUUUUAUGUAGCUGUCUAUGAGGAAUUGGCCGUGUCUGGGUGGGUUAUGGGAUGUGGGCAUCCCUGGGUUCUUGGAAGCAGCUCUUAUGCUACUCAUAGAGAUGGGAUUGACUUUAUUUUUUUAUAGUGCUUAAUUCACCAUUAUGAGAAAUGCUUCCAGUCACAAAAAUGCAGCCCAGCUCACUCUGAGGAAGAAGCAGGACUUGGUACGGUUUUACACAACUCCUUACCAUUAAACUGAAUCAGAAAUCCAUUUUCUGGCUGAAUAAAAAGUUUGGCUUGCC
rnacentral:lncRNA from 10 species